CGCCGGGGAAGGUCGAGCCGAGCGAGAAGCGUUUCCGCUGCGUCGGGAGUGGAGAGGCCGCUGGUCCCUAAAGUUGGAGCUCCGUAGAAGGACUGCGCUGAAUUAAGGGAGCAGCGAGAGGAAGGGAAACCGUUCGGGGCUGUCAGAGUCCCGCUGCUGAUGGCUGCCAAUCAUCACGGAAGAGUCAUUAAAAAAAGAAAAAAAAAAACAGAACAAAACAAAACAAAAAAAAAUUAAAAAAAAAUCCACUGCUAAUAUUUUUUUUAUUAAUAUUUUUAUUUUUUAUUUCUGGACUGAUUCAGAUAAAGGGAUUUAGAAGGACUGAGCAUCUGCAGCUGCACUUAUCUGAACUUCUCCUCUCCUAAAUCCGUUGCCAACUUUGAUUGAAUGGGUGCUGUGGAUGUGAUUAUAUAAUACUGCCAUUUCCAAGCAGUGUUUUUGGUAGGUUUUAAUAAACAGACUUUUCAAAAAGACGGCAAUAUAGAAUUGUUAGAUCCGUUGUUGAU
rnacentral:lncRNA from 7 species